AUCUUAUCGAGAGCGGCGGAGGGAUAGGCCCGAUGAAGCCCGGCAACCGAUUUGUACACAGCAUAGCCUAGCUGCUGCCUGCAAAUGUCAUGGUGCUAAUUCCUACAAUGCCGCUAGGUUUGCGGUCUUGGCAGAUGAGAC
rnacentral:ncRNA from 2 species